GUGAACCUGCUGCUGGAUCAUUAC
rnacentral:rRNA from 1 species